rnacentral:rRNA from 1 species
GAGUUUGAUCCUGGCUCAGGAUGAACGCUAGCGGCAGGCCUAACACAUGCAAGUCGAACGGUAACAGGAAUUAGCUUGCUAAUUUGCUGACGAGUGGCGCACGGGUGCGUAACGCGUAUACAAUCUACCUUUUGCUGAGGGAUAGCCCAGAGAAAUUUGGAUUAAUACCUCAUGGUAUUAUUGAUAGGCAUCUAUUAAUAAUUAAAGGUUACGGCAAAAGAUGAGUAUGCGUCCCAUUAGCUAGUUGGUGAAGUAACGGUUCACCAAGGCAACGAUGGGUAGGGGUCCUGAGAGGGAGAUCCCCCACACUGGUACUGAGACACGGACCAGACUCCUACGGGAGGCAGCAGUGAGGAAUAUUGGACAAUGGGCGAGAGCCUGAUCCAGCCAUGCCGCGUGCAGGAAGACUGCCCUAUGGGUUGUAAACUGCUUUUAUACAGGAAGAAUAAGCCUU